CCUACGGGUGGCAGCAGUGAGGAAUAUUGGUCAAUGGACGCAAGUCUGAACCAGCCAUGCCGCGUGCAGGAAGACGGCUCUAUGAGUUGUAAACUGCUUUUGUACGAGGGUAAACGCAGAUACGCGUAUCUGUCUGAAAGUAUCGUACGAAUAAGGAUCGGCUAACUCCGUGCCAGCAGCCGCGGUAAUACGGAGGAUUCAAGCGUUAUCCGGAUUUAUUGGGUUUAAAGGGUGCGUAGGCGGUCUGAUAAGUUAGAGGUGAAAGCCCGAGGCUCAACUUCGGAAUUGCCUUUGAUACUGGUCGGCUAGAGAGUAGUUGAGGUAGGCGGAAUGUAUGGUGUAGCGGUGAAAUGCUUAGAGAUCAUACAGAACACCGAUUGCGAAGGCAGCUUACCAAGCUACUUCUGACGUUGAGGCACGAAAGCGUGGGGAGCAAACAGGAUUAGAUACCCGGGUAGUC
rnacentral:rRNA from 1 species